UGCGCUUGAUCGGACUUUCUCUUUCUAAUCUGCAAUCCUGUUCUCACGUGGACGGUCAACUCAAAACCGAGCGAAGAGUGUUGUGUAACUGAAGUCAACGAUAGAGCAGCCGAGCAAUUUUGAACAUUUUUAACGGUGCAGAUUUGUUUGGGAAACAGGAGCAGAACAAACACACAAUUUGCAAUUGCAUCUAUUCGAAUCAAGACAUACUGUGAAUGACAUCCGUUACGCUGGAGCAUCUUGUGAUGAGGACCCUUCAACGCGUCAACAGGUGAUUAUUACAGCGGCAUUUUAUCAAAAUUUCAUGGUAACGAAACGCUGAUUAACAAUAAUGGUGUUAUGAUGGAAAAUUUAAAAACUACUCAAAAUAACGUUUUACACCGUUUUUUCUUAGUGAAAUGAUUGCGUAUGCUACCGAUAGUUUUUGGUACUAAAAAUAGCUAUUUAAAAGUGGAAGGUUUACUAUCAUUGAUAGUAUAUUUUUCAGAUUUACCACUUUUCUCGAAAAAGUUAUUAAGGGUUAAUUAUAUACCAAGAUUUUUCUUAUUUGCCAAAAAUAAGGGAUGAAAAAUGUCAUAUAAUAGAUUAUUAUAAAUUGAAACAAUAUCUGUUUGUAUAGAUUAUCUAAGAAAUCAGCAGAUAUGUGGAAAUACAGAAAUAAAAGGAAGCACAUAAGAAAUAAAAGAUCUGACCAAGCACAUUUGUAUUAGGUCAUUGAACGUCACCAUUUGGCCCGCAGAGGGGGAAUGCGUGGAAAAAUCACCACAGACGGCGACGGACCGGACGGACUGGAAGGACCAGGUUGACAGAAAGGUUAGCCGCUGACAUACUUCCCGGCACACUUUGGCUUGCCAGCGGAAACGCGUUUUCUAAUGGUAAGAUGCUUCAGACGGUUUUAAAACUUGGCACAACCUUGACUGAUGACAGGUUGACAGAUUGCUAAGAAUAAGCACGGAGAUUGUUAAAAUUAAUUACUCAUCAAA